rnacentral:rRNA from 1 species
AAUCAACGCUGGCGGCGUGCCUCAGACAUGCAAGUCGAACGAUUAAGACUUCCUUCGGGAAGUGUAUAAAGUGGCGCACGGGUGAGUAACACGUAAGUAAUCUACCUUCGAGUGGGGAAUAACAUCGGGAAACCGAUGCUAAUACCGCAUAAUGCAGCGGCAUCGCAAGAUGACAGUUGUUAAAGGAGCAAUUCGCUUGAAGAGGAGCUUGAGGCAGAUUAGCUAGUUGGUAAGGUAAUGGCUUACCAAGGCUACGAUCUGUAUCCGGUCUAAGAGGACGGUCGAACACACUGACACUUAAUAACGGGUCAGACUCCUACGGGAGGCAGCAGUCGGGAAUUUUGGGCAAUGGGCGAAAGCCUGACCCAGCAACGCCGCGUGAGGGAUGAAGUAUUUCGGUAUGUAAACCUCGAAAGAAUGGGAAGAAUAAAUGACGGUACCAUUUAUAAGCUCCGGCUAACUACGUGCCAGCCGCCGCCGUAAUAC